UACGUAGGGUGCAAGCGUUGUCCGGAAUUAUUGGGCGUAAAGAGCUCGUGGGCGGUCUGUCGCGUCGGCUGUGAAAUCCCGAGGCUCAACCUCGGGUCUGCAGUCGAUACGGGCAGACUAGAGGUAUGCAGGGGAGAACGGAAUUCCUGGUGUAGCGGUGAAAUGCGCAGAUAUCAGGAGGAACACCGGUGGCGAAGGCGGUUCUCUGGGCAUUACCUGACGCUGAGGAGCGAAAGUGUGGGGAGCGAACAGG
rnacentral:rRNA from 1 species